CCUACGGGAGGCUGCAGUGGGGAAUAUUGCGCAAUGGGCGAAAGCCUGACGCAGCGACGCCGCGUGAGGGAUGAAGGUCUUCGGAUCGUAAACCUCUGUCAGCAGGGAAGAACGGUCACUGUGCUAAUCAGCAGUGAAUUGACGGUAACUGCAAAGGAAGCACCGGCUAACUCCGUGCCAGCAGCCGCGGUAAUACGGAGGGUGCGAGCGUUAAUCGGAAUUACUGGGCGUAAAGCGCGCGCAGGCGGUAUGAUAAGUCAAAGGUGAAAGCCCCGCGCUCAACGUGGGAACUGCCUUUGAAACUGGCGAACUUGAGUGCGGGAGAGGAUAGUGGAAUUCCAGGUGUAGGAGUGAAAUCCGUAGAUAUCUGGAGGAACACCAGUGGCGAAGGCGACUAUCUGGCACAUAACUGACGCUGAGGAGCGAAAGCGUGGGUAGCAAACAGGAUUAGAUACCCGUGUAGUC
rnacentral:rRNA from 1 species